rnacentral:rRNA from 1 species
CCCCUAGACGUUCUGGGCUGCACGCGCGCUACAAUAAUACGCACAGCGAGUAUCACCGAGCUCGAAAGGGCAAGGUAAACAAUAGAAAAGGUACUGUAAUGGUUAUAGAUCCUUGUAAUUAUUGAUCUUCAACGAGGAAUUCCUAGUAAGUAUGUGUCAUCAUCACGCACUGAUUACGUCCCCGCCCUUUGUACACACCGCCCGUCGCUCCUACCGAUUGAGUGAGCCGAUGAAACUGCCGGAUGUGGACUAUUCAUAGUCUGCAGAAGAUAUUUGAAUCGUAGCGCUUAGAGGAAGGAGAAGUCGUAACA